rnacentral:rRNA from 1 species
UACGUAGGGUGCAAGCGUUGUCCGGAAUUAUUGGGCGUAAAGAGCUCGUAGGCGGUUUGUCGCGUCUGCUGUGAAAACUCGGGGCUUAACUCCGGGCCUGCAGUGGGUACGGGCAGACUAGAGUGCGGUAGGGGAGACUGGAAUUCCUGGUGUAGCGGUGAAAUGCGCAGAUAUCAGGAGGAACACCGGUGGCGAAGGCGGGUCUCUGGGCUGUAUCUGACGCUGAUGCGCGAAAGCUAGGGGAGCAAACGGG